rnacentral:lncRNA from 1 species
UGAAAUGGAAUAGUUUUUUACAAAUUUAUAAAAUGGUUAACAAAAGCACAUGUUUGAAAUAUUGGUGAAUAGACAAUAGUAAAUACUAGUAUACGUUUUAUGGCUAUAUAAGCUAACAUCUUCCCCUGUCCCUUCUAAAGAAGAGUAGCAAAACAUGAGUGCAAGAAACUUUAUUUCAACAGCUCAAUUAUUAGUAUUACUCAUCUUCUUUAUCUCCUCAUUCUUCCAUGUAAAUGGCUUAACUUCAUCUGUCAAAAAUGGCAGAGAAGCCAUAGAAGUCAUAAUUGGUGGAGGAGGAGAUGUCCCUCCCAUUGCUCCUGCUUAUCCUCCAUAUUCAUAUUCACCUCCUCCACAAGAACCACUUUGCCCUCUUCCUCCCCCUCCUCCACAACCACUUUGUCCCCCUCCNNNNNN